UACGUAGGGUGCGAGCGUUUGUCCGGAAUUACUGGGCGUAAAGAGCUCGUAGGUGGUUUGUCGCGUUGUUCGUGAAAACUCACAGCUCAACUGUGGGCGUGCGGGCGAUACGGGCAGACUGGAGUACUGCAGGGGAGACUGGAAGUUCCUGGUGUAGCGGUGGAAUGCGCAGAUAUCAGGAGGAACACCCGUAGCGAAGGCGGCACUCUGGGCCGAUUCUGACACUGAGGAGCGAAAGCGUGGGGAGCGAACAGG
rnacentral:rRNA from 1 species